UCCAGGAGAGCUGUGUUGUGAUGGGCCAGGUCCAGUAGAGCUGUGUUGUGAUGGGCCUGGUCUAGUAGAGCUGUGUUGUGAUGGGCCGGGUCUAGUAGAGCUGUGUUGUGAUGGGCCUGGUCCAGUAGAGCUGUGUUGUGAUGGGCCUGGUCUAGUAGAGCUGUGUUGUGAUGGGCCUGGUCUAGUAGAGCUGUGUUGUGAUGGGCCUGGUCUAGUAGAGCUGUGUUGUGAUGGGCCAGGUCCAGUAGAGCUGUGUUGUGAUGGGCCAGGUCCAGUAGAGCUGUGUUGUGAUGGUUCUGGUCUAGUAGAGCUGUGUUGUGAUGGUUCUGGUCUAGUAGAGCUGUGUUGUGAUGGGCCAGGUCCAGUAGAGCUGUGUUGUGAUGGGCCAGGUCCAGUAGAGCUGUGUUGUGAUGGGCCAGGUCUAGUAGAGCUGUGUUGUGAUGGUUCUGGUCUAGUAGAGCUGUGUUGUGAUGGGCCGGGUCUAGUAGAGCUGUGUUGUGAUGGGCCAGGUCCAGUAGAGCUGUGUUGUGAUGGGCCAGGUCCAGUAGAGCUGUGUUGUGAUGGUUCUGGUCUAGUAGAGCUGUGUUGUGAUGGUCCAGGUCCAGGAGAG